rnacentral:rRNA from 1 species
AAGUCGUAACAAGGUCUCCGUAGGUGAACCUGCGGAGGGAUCAUUCAUGAAUGACCACGGUCUUCAACCAUUCUACCCUUGUGGAGUACCAGUCGUGCCUUCGGCCCUCUGGGCCGGCUUUAAUGCGGUUGACUUUGUCUGACACAUUGAUGAAAAUCAAAACUUUCAACAAAGGAUCUCUUGGCUCUUGCAUCGAUGAAGAACGCAGCAAAGCGCGAAAUGUAUUGUGAAUUGCAGAAUUUGUGAAUCAUCGAAUCUUUGAACGCACAUUGUGCCUCUUGUUAGAGAGGCAUGCCUGUCUGAGUCUCAUUUAACCUAAAUCCAAUUAUGGGUUUGUGUUGGGCGUUUGCCCCUCGGCGUCGCCUCAAAGUCAUCUGGCUGACGAGUGGAGGAGAUCCCCUAGGACUGACCAUUUGUCUAGCCAUUAAAAGCAUCUCUGAUUUUGAGCUCAGAUCAGGUGGGACUACCGCCUGAACUUAA